GAUAAAAAAGGAAAUGGUGUGCUUCCUUACCCAACCGCUUUCCACAAGCUGAUGACGCCUGAUCAUUA
rnacentral:ncRNA from 2 species